GUAGAUCUUCAGAUAUCACAAAAACCCUAUCCAACCCUAGACUGCCAACUUCUGACAAUCCUUUGUACUAAAACCCAGAUAUCUCUUGAUUGCAUCGUUAGAUUAACACAAAUUUUUGUAUACACUUAGCACACCCAACUAUCCAGACAAUACCAAAUUUUGAUCCAUAGAUGCUACACGACUUGCACAAACCGAUUGAGAAUGCGAACCAUCAAUGUUUUAUAUAAAAUCCGAAACACCAAAAU
rnacentral:lncRNA from 1 species